GUUUGUUUGUUUGUUUGUUUGUUUUUAAUGAUUCUUUCCAUAUUCUUUUUAGAUUUGUAACCGAUGUGAGUACACUGUAGCUGUCUUCAGACAAACCAGAAGAGGGCAUCAUAUCCCAUUACAGAUGGUUGUGAGCCAACAUGUGGUUGCUGGGAAUUGAACUCAAGACCUCUGGAACAGCAGUCAAUGCUCUUAACAGCUGAGCCAUCUCUCCAGCCCUUUUUUUGUUUUUUUGUUUUGUUUUUUUUUUGUUGUUGUUUUUGAUGUUGUUUUGUUUUUGUUUUUUUGUUUUUUUUUUGACACGGGCUCUCUCUGCUGUACCUGCCACUCAUCAAUUAGGCUAGGCCAGCAGGCCAAUGGGCUCUAAGGGCCCACCUUCUCAUAGCACUAGCCAAAGAUUCUAAGAACCCGCCCUCCCACAGCACUAGCCAAUGGGCUCUAAGGACCCGCCCUCCCACAGUGCUAGCCAAUGGGCUCUAAGGACCCACCCACAGCACUGGGCCUAUAGACACACGUUUCUGUGUCUAGCUUUAAGUGGGUGCUGGAAAUCCAAACUAAACUUCAAGUCAACUUGAUAACAAGGAAGAAAACAGCAAAGGUGACCUUCACAGGGCUGCAGAAGCCAGAGUCACUGCCUCCUUAUCCAAAAGGAUUGGAACAGUGGUGAGGUAGACUUCGGGACAAAUGAGACACAGCCACUGGUGUCCCAGCCAGAUCCCCACAGUCCCUCCUCACAGAGGAUCCAGCAAGGAUAGAUGGGGGUCACUCAUCUGCUUGCUUAUAGGUCCCAAGCAGGCCAUCAAGGUGACAAUACCAUCCUCUCAAAGAAGUGACAUCUCCUCCUCAAAGAGAGCGACCUAAGAUACCUCCCCCUCACCUGCCUGGUCACAUCUAAUCUCAGGGUUGAAUUUACAAUCCAGCUCUCCAAAGAGACCACUGGACAAACUAUUCAACGUAACAAUCUAUGAGUCCCCAGAGCCUUUUGAGACCUGCCACCACAAGUAUGUCCUUGAAAGAGGAUUUGUCUUGAUGGAGUUGUAAAUGAGUCAGGCAGGGAAACAUCAGGGGGGAAAAAAAACAAAACUGAGAGUAGUUACUGUGGAGUGCACACAAAUGUGGAGGCUUCCAUCAUGUGCCUGAGUCUACAGAGAGCUCUGGGAAAAGUGUGUGCAGAGGCUGUGGCCUGUCCUGUGCCAGUGCGUCUCUGCCAUUCAGGGACUAAGAUCUAGGAUCCAAGAGGUCUUCUGCCAGUCCAGUAGGAGGCAACUGGGAAAAGCAAGUCCUCCUGCCAGGCACUUCUCGGAGGUUAAAUCCACCUGGGUUCUCCCUGGGUGAGAAAGAAAGAGAUGGAGAAAGAGAGAUGUGGGAGUAGGGGGAUGAGACAGACAAGAGAGUUGAGAGGGGGCAGUUAGAGAUAGGGACAGUCAGAGAAACAGGGGAAAGAGAGAGACAGACAGACC
rnacentral:lncRNA from 1 species